rnacentral:rRNA from 1 species
UACGUAGGGUGCAAGCGUUGUCCGGAAUUAUUGGGCGUAAAGAGCUCGUAGGCGGUUUGUCGCGUCUGCUGUGAAAACCCGAGGCUCAACCUCGGGCCUGCAGUGGGUACGGGGCAGACUAGAGUGCGGUAGGGGAGAUUGGAAUUCCUGGUGUAGCGGUGGAAUGCGCAGAUAUCAGGAGGAACACCGAUGGCGAAGGCAGAUCUCUGGGCCGUAACUGACGCUGAGGAGCGAAAGCGUGGGGAGCGAACAGG